UACGAAGGGUGCAAGCGUUACUCGGAAUUACUGGGCGUAAAGCGUGCGUAGGUGGUUUGUCAAGUCUGAUGUGAAAGCCCUGGGCUCAACCUGGGAAUGGCAUUGGAUACUGGCGAGCUAGAGUGCGGUAGAGGGUAGUGGAAUUCCCGGUGUAGCAGUGAAAUGCGUAGAGAUCGGGAGGAACAUCUGUGGCGAAGGCGACUACCUGGACCAGCACUGACACUGAGGCACGAAAGCGUGGGGAGCAAACAGG
rnacentral:rRNA from 1 species